UUACGGCCAUAUUACGUUCAAACAUCGGUAUCCUUAUGACCACCGAAGUUAAGCAACGUCGAGCCUGAUCAGUACCGAGAUGAGUGAAAGCUUGCGAAUACUAGAUGCUGUAAG